UGGGGAAUAUUGCACAAUGGACGGAAGUCUGAUGCAGCAACGCCGCGUGCGGGAUGACGGCCUUCGGGUUGUAAACCGCUUUCAGCAGGGACGAAGCGCAAGUGACGGUACCUGCAGAAGAAGGACCGGCCAACUACGUGCCAGCAGCCGCGGUGAUACGUAGGGUCCGAGCGUUGUCCGGAAUUAUUGGGCGUAAAGAGCUUGUAGGCGGCUUGUCACGUCGGAAGUGAAAACUCAGGGCUUAACCCUGAGCCUGCUUCCGAUACGGGCUGGCUAGAGGAAGGUAGGGGAGAAUGGAAUUCCUGGUGGAGCGGUGGAAUGCGCAGAUAUCAGGAGGAACACCAGUGGCGAAGGCGGUUCUCUGGACCUUUCCUGACGCUGAGAAGCGAAAGCGUGGGGAGCAAACAGG
rnacentral:rRNA from 1 species